GUCUACGGCCACGCCACCCUGAACAAGUGAUCCCGUCUGAUCUUGGAAGCUAAGCAGGGUUGGCUGAUCCCGUCUGAUCUUGGAAGCUAAGUAGGAUCGGGCCUGGUUAGUACUUGCAUGUGAGACCACCUAGGAAGACCAGGUGCUGUAGGCA
rnacentral:rRNA from 1 species